AUUGAACGCUGGCGGCAUGCUUUACACAUGCAAGUCGAACGGCAGCACGGGUGCUUGCACCUGGUGGCGAGUGGCGAACGGGUGAGUAAUGCAUCGGAACGUGCCCAUGAGUGGGGGAUAGCCCGGCGAAAGCCGGAUUAAUACCGCAUACGCCCUUAGGGGGAAAGGACGGGGGAGUCUUCGGACCUCGCGCUAUUGGAGCGGCCGAUGUCGGAUUAGCUAGUAGGUGAGGUAAAGGCUCACCUAGGCGACGAUCCGUAGCUGGUCUGAGAGGAUGAUCAGCCACACUGGGACUGAGACACGGCCCAGACUCCUACGGGAGGCAGCAGUGGGGAAUUUUGGUACGAAUAGGCGGCAAGACCUCGAUCCACGACCAUGCCGCCGUGAGUGAAG
rnacentral:rRNA from 1 species